rnacentral:rRNA from 1 species
AGUGAACGCUGGCGGCAGGCCUAACACAUGCAAGUCGAGCGGCAGCGCGGGGGCAACCCUGGCGGCGAGCGGCGGACGGGUGAGGAAUGCGUCGGAAUCUGCCCCUUCGUGGGGGAUAACGUAGGGAAACUUACGCUAAUACCGCAUACGACCUACGGGUGAAAGUGGGGGACCUUCGGGCCUCACGCAGAGCGAUGAGCCGACGCCGGAUUAGCUAGUUGGCGGGGUAAAGGCCCACCAAGGCGACGAGCCGUAGCCGGUCUGAGAGGAUGCACAGCCACACUGGAACUGAGACGCGGUCGAGACUCCUACGGGAGAGAGCAGUGGGGAAUAUUGGACAAUGGGCGCAAGCCUGGUCCUGCCAUGCCGCGUGUGUGAAGAAGGGCUUCGGGUUGUAAAGCACUUUUGUCCGGAAAGAAAAGCUUCCGAUUAAUACUCGGGAGUCAUGACGGUACCGGAAGAAUAAGCACCGGCUAACUUCGUGCCAGCCGCCGCUGUAACAC